GGGGGAACAAAGUUGCCUGGUGUCUUCUCCCGGCUCAGGCCCCACAGGGACAAAGCUUGGAGAUGGAGGAAGCAGGCCAGGGCAACUAGGCCCAUCCAUUGCCCAAGCGCCAAGGGCUACUCUCUACCUACACAAUCCCAGGAAGUAAGGAGCCCAGAAAGCUUUCAGUGAGUCCAGAGACCAGCUGUCGAGCUGUGACAAGUGUCAAUCAGAAUUUCAAACUGAAAUAAUCAUCUCUAGAAUUAUAAUCAUGGUAACAAUAAUAGUGAUGAGCAUAACAGCCCCCUUGGUUGAAGAGCUUUCUCAGCGCCAGGUGGUCUGCAGGACACUUUCUUUUAUCAACUCCAAUCAGGUUGCUAGAGUCACCUGAUCUUUCUAAGGUGCAGAUCCAAUAACUUAACUGAGCUGCAUGGAAAGGACCUUAUGACCCCCUCUGACAGACAAGGAAACUGAGGCUAAGAAGGGUACAGGGACUCAGCUACUUAGCUAAAAUUUGAACCUGAAACUGCCCAGUUCCAAAGUCCUCUUUUUUUAAUCUUUUGUGGUACUAAGGAUUAAACGCAGGAUGACCCAUCUCCAGUCCUUUCUAUUUUUAAUUUUGAGACAUGAUCUCAUUAAGUUGCUGAGACUGGCUUGAAUUUGUGAGACUUCUUCCCCAGCCUCUCAAGUAGCUGGGAUUCCAGGUCUGCACCACUGAACGGGCUCCAAGAUUUUUAAGCAGUAACUCCACCUUUUAAAUAUUUUUUUUUAGUUGUUGAUGAACCUUUAUUUUAUUUAUUUAUAUGUGGUGCUGAGAAUCGAACCCAGUGCCUCACACAUGCUAGGCAAGCGCUCUACCACUGAGCCACAACCCCAGCCUCUAAGCAGCCCCCUUUGCUCUGGGCCACAGUCUCCCUCCCAGCCACCUCCGUUCUCCAUGAACAGCUUGACCCACUUCUCUUCCUGCCCCCAUGAUCUCCCUCAGGUCCCUCCUGUCCCUCCCUCCCUCAGACUGU
rnacentral:lncRNA from 1 species